GAAUAUUGGACAAUGGGCGCAAGCCUGAUCCAGCCAUACCGCGUGGGUGAAGAAGGCCUUCGGGUUGUAAAGCCCUUUUGUUGGGAAAGAAAAGCAGUCGGCUAAUACCCGGUUGUUCUGACGGUACCCAAAGAAUAAGCACCGGCUAACGCCGUGCCAGCAGCCGCGGUAAUACGAAGGGUGCAAGCGUUACUCGGAAUUACUGGGCGUAAAGCGUGCGUAGGUGGUUGUUUAAGUCUGUUGUGAAAGCCCUGGGCUCAACCUGGGAAUUGCAGUGGAUACUGGGCGACUAGAGUGUGGUAGAGGGUAGUGGAAUUCCCGGUGUAGCAGUGAAAUGCGUAGAGAUCGGGAGGAACAUCCAUGGCGAAGGCAGCCCCCUGGGCCUGUACUGACGCUCAUGCACGAAAGCGUGGGGAGCAAACAGG
rnacentral:rRNA from 1 species